rnacentral:SRP_RNA from 1 species
AGUAGUGAUGCGAUAAAGUAGUUGUAUACUGCCAACUUAACAUGACAGUCCCAAUAAGGGAAUAUACUACUGCUAUUUAGCCCUAGGAAGCUGGACCGCUUCCUGUCGGCCUUGACACAUUUCCUGUGUCCUGGCUAGGCUGGGUGGAGGAGUUUAUCUCCCCCUCACAAACAUAAGGACACAGGAAAUGUGUCAAGGCGGACAGGAAGCGGUCCAGCUUCCUAGGGCUAAAUAGCAGUAGUAUAUUCCCUUAUUGGGACUGUCAUGUUAA